rnacentral:tRNA from 1 species
GCCUGGGUGGCUCAGUCGGUUGAGCGUCCGACUUCGGCUCAGGUCAUGAUCUCAUGGUCCGUGAGUUCGAGCCCCACGUCGGGCU